GGGGAUUUAGCUCAGCGGCAUAAGCGGCAUAAGCGCCUGCCUUGCAAGCAGGCAGUCGUGAGUUCAAUCCCCG
rnacentral:tRNA from 1 species